rnacentral:rRNA from 1 species
UACGUAGGUCCCGAGCGUUGUCCGGAUUUAUUGGGCGUAAAGCGAGCGCAGGUGGUUUAUUAAGUCUGGUGUAAAAGGCAGUGGCUCAACCAUUGUAUGCAUUGGAAACUGGUAGACUUGAGUGCAGGAGAGGAGAGUGGAAUUCCAUGUGUAGCGGUGAAAUGCGUAGAUAUAUGGAGGAACACCGGUGGCGAAAGCGGCUCUCUGGCCUGUAACUGACACUGAGGCCCGAAAGCGUGGGGAGCAAACAGG